GACAGAGGGUGCAAACGUUGUUCGGAUUUACUGGGCGUAAAGCGCGUGUAGGCGGCUUGGCAAGUUGAAUGUGAAAGCCCACGGCUCAACCGUGGAAGCGCAUCCAAAACUGCUUCGCUCGAGUCUCCGGAGAGGAAGGUGGAAUGCUUGGUGUAGAGGUGAAAUUCGUAGAUAUCAAGCAGAACACCUGCGGCGAAGGCG
rnacentral:rRNA from 1 species